rnacentral:SRP_RNA from 1 species
AGCCGGGGAGAUAGCGGUGCCCUGUACCUGCAAUCCGCUACAGCAGGGGUGAUGCCAAUCCGAGGCUUGUUUUCUGUGGAGCUGCCCUUUAUAAGCGGCGUUGACGUUCGGGUCUCAAGCAACAGGAAUUCAUGAACCGUGUCAGGGCAGGAAUGCAGCAGCACUAAGUGAAACCUCCUGUGUGCCUUGAGGGUGCCUGGGCUGAGCUGGCUGUAAAGGUAACGUCUGUGGAGGCAUGUCGACGUGCGGCG